GAUCCUGCGGCAGAGGAGUUGCUUGCUGCUUUGCUGACAAUUGGCGGACGGGUGACUUAUGUCUGGGAAUCUGCCUGAUGGAGGGGGAUAACUACUGGAAACGGUAACUAAUACCGCAUAACGUCGCAGACCAAAGAGGGGGACCUUCGGGCCUCUUGCCAUCGGAUGUGCCCAGAUGGGAUUAUCUAGGGGUGGGGUAACGGCUCGCCUAGGCGACGAUCCCUACCUGGACUGAGAGGAUGACCACCCACACUGGAACUGAGACACGACCCCUACUCCUACGGGAGGCGGCAGUGGGGAAUAUUGGACAAUGGGCGCGAUCCUGAUGCGCCCAUGCCGCGUGUAUGAACAACGCCUUCGGGUUGUAUAGUACUUUCAACGGGGAGGAAGGGAGUAAAGUUAAUACCUUUGCUCAUUGACGUUACCCGCAGAACAAGCACCGGCUAACUCCGUGCCCGCAGCCGCGGUAAUACGGAGGGUGCAAGCGUUAAUCGGAAUUACUGGGCGUAAAGCGCACGCAGGCGGUUUGUUAAAUCAGAUGUGAAAUCCCCGGGCUCAACCUGGGAACUGCAUCUGAUACUGGCAAGCUUGAGUCUCGUAGAGGGGAAUAGAAUUCCAGGUGUAGCGGUGCAAAUGAUAUAGAGAUCUAACAGGAAUACCGGAAGGCGACCGCGGUGCCACCUGAUACUGACACUGACGCUGCAGAAUGCGAAGAGCGAGCAGGAGCAAAUCUAGGAUAUCACCAUGACUCCUGCCUACGUCCGA
rnacentral:rRNA from 1 species